GAUCCAUAGCCUGCUCGAAGGGAGUUGGCCACAGCGGGGAUGAAAUCAACCCAUCGGAAAUUUUUUCCGCAGCAGCUAAGAAUAUUUCACAAUGAUCUUAAUGAUUGAUGGAGCUAACUAAAUUUCAUUAGUGUCUAGGCGCUAAGAAAAAUGUAUUAAUCAGAUAAUGACACAUUAAUACUAAGAGUACUGACAAAUCGCCGUGCCAGCUGUUGCGGUAAAACGGCUAGUACAAACGUUAAUCCUCAUUAAUAGGCAUAAAGGGUUCGUAGGCAGCUUUUUUAUUUUAUUAGAAAGAUUGAAUCUGAUAUAGGAUAGAUACAACACUAGAAUGAGGGCCGAUAUCCUUAGACUCCUAGGUGAGUGUUAAAUGCGAAGGCAAUUAUCUAGCUAAGAUUGACGCUGAGGAACUAAGGUUUGGAAAGGAAACAGGAUUAGAGACCCAGGUACUCCUUACAUUCAACGAUGAAUGCUAGAUAUUAGUUCUUAACUAGUGUCGAUGUGAAAAAGACGUUAAGCAUUCCGCCUUGACAGUAUACUUGCAAAAGUGAAAUCAAAAAAAUUAGUCGGUUUCGAAGCAAACGAAGUGAAGCAUGUUGUUCAAUACGAUAAUCCG
rnacentral:rRNA from 1 species